rnacentral:tRNA from 1 species
GGGUGCUUAGCUCAGUUGGUAGAGCAUCGCCCUUACAAGGCGAGGGUCGUAGGUUCAAGUCCUACAGCACCCACCA